rnacentral:rRNA from 1 species
GACGAACGCUGGCGGCGUGCUUAACACAUGCAAGUCGAACGGAAAGGCCCUGCUUUUGUGGGGUGCUCGAGUGGCGAACGGGUGAGUAACACGUGAGUAACCUGCCCUUGACUUUGGGAUAACUUCAGGAAACUGGGGCUAAUACCGGAUAGGAGCCCCUGCUGCAUGGUGGGGGUUGGAAAGUUUCGGCGGUUGGGGAUGGACUCGCGGCUUAUCAGCUUGUUGGUGGGGUAGUGGCUUACCAAGGCCUUGACGGGUAGCCGGCCUGAGAGGGUGACCGGCCACAUUGGGACUGAGAUACAGCCCAGACUCCUACGGGAGGCAGCAGUGGGGAAUAUUGCACAAUGGGCGGAAGCCUGAUGCAGCAACGCCGCGUGCGGGAUGACGGCCUUCGGGUUGUAAACCGCUUUCGCCUGUGACGAAGCGUGAGUGACGGUAAUGGGUAAAGAAGCACCGGCUAACUACGUG